rnacentral:rRNA from 1 species
UUAAGCUAUAAAGAGCACAGGGUGGAUGCCUAGGCACUGAGAGCCGAUGAAAGACGUGAUAAGCUGCGAUAAGCUGCGGUAAGGAGCAAAUAUCCAUUGACCCGCAGAUUUCUGAAUGGGGAAACCUACGCAAGAAGACCUUGCGUACUCAUACAUGAAUACAUAGUGUAUGAGAGGGAACCCGGGGAACUGAAACAUCUAAGUACCCGGAGGAAGAGAAAGAAACAUCGAUUUCCUGAGUAGCGGCGAGCGAAAGGGAAAGAGCCCAAACCAGAGGAUUUAUCCUUUGGGGUUAGGACUGCAUAAUUGAUCUGCAAUUGAUAGGAGAACGGUCUGGGAAGUCCGGCGGGAAAGCGUGAAAGCCGCGUAUCCGAAAUCGAAAGCAGCAAGGCAGGAUCCAGAGUACCACGAGACACGAGAAACCUUGUGGGAAUGAGCGGAGACCACUCCGUAAGGCUAAAUACUACUCAGUGACCGAUAGCGCAUAGUACUGUGAAGGAAAGGUGAAAAGGACCCCGGGAGGGGAGUGAAAGAGAACCUGAAACCCUGUGUUUACAAGCUGUCGAAGCACGAAAGUGCGACGGCGUACUUUUUGUAGAACGGUCCGGCGAGUUAUGAUGAGUGGUAAGGUUAAGGACUUAAGGUCCGGAGCCGAAGCGAAAGCGAGUGUUAAAAGCACGGUUGAAUCGCUUAUCAUAGACCCGAAACCGGGUGAUCUAUCCAUGUCCAGGUUGAAGCUGCCGUAAGAGGUAGUGGAGGACCGAACCCACAUCCGUUGAAAAGGGUGGGGAUGAGGUGUGGAUAGGGGAGAAAUUCCAAUCGAACCCGGAGAUAGCUGGUUCUCCUCGAAAUAGCUUUAGGGCUAGCCUCGUAUUAGUCUGCCGGAGGUAGAGCACUGAAUUUCCUAGGGGGCGUCAAAGCCUACCGAAGAAUAUCAAACUCCGAAUGCCGGCCAGAUGAUGUACGGGAGUCAGACUGCACGAGAUAAGUUGGGUGGUCAAAAGGGAAAGAGCCCAGACCUACAGCUAAGGUCCCAAAGUGUGUGUUAAGUGGAAAAGGAUGUGGGAUUUCGAAGACAACUAGGAUGUUGGCUCAGAAGCAGCCACACAUUAAAAGAGUGCGUAAUAGCUCACUAGUCGAGAGGUCCUGCGCCGAAAAUGUCCGGGGCUAAAACACAACACCGAAGCUUAGGAAUUCUUUUGAAUUGGUAGAGGAGCAUUGAAGACGGAACGAAGCCAUACCGAAAGGAAUGGUGGACUGUCUUGAAGAGAGAAUGCCGGAAUGAGUAGCGAGAUUGAAGUGAGAAUCUUCAAGGCCGAAUAUCUAAGGUUUCCAGGGUAAAGCUGAUCUGCCCUGGGUAAGUCGGGGCCUAAGGCAAGGUCGAAAGACGUAGUCGAUGGAUAACAGGUUGAAAUUCCUGUACUGCAUCAAAUCAGAAAUGUGGGGACACAUGAGGGAAGCAUGAGCCGGAAAAGGAAAGUCCGGUACAAGCGCAGCAGAGGACAGAUAGGAAAAACCGUCUGUCAACUCGAGGGCGUGAUGUGGAGCGAACCAAAGUAGCGAAGCAUGUGGAGCUUGUGUCGAGAAAAGCCGCUAUAGUGUUUGAUGUACCCGUACCGUAAACCGACACAGGUGGAUGAGGAGAGAAUCCUAAGGCCGGCGGGAGAAGCAUUGUUAAGGAACUCGGCAAAAUGACCCCGUAACUUCGGGAGAAGGGGUGCUCCAGAGAUGGAGCCGCAGAGAACUGGCCCAAGCAACUGUUUAGCAAAAACACAGGUCUAUGCAAAACCGAAAGGUGAGGUAUAUGGGCUGACGCCUGCCCGGUGCUGGAAGGUUAAGAGGAGAGGUUAGCGCAAGCGAAGCUUUGAAUUUAAGCCCCAGUAAACGGCGGCCGUAACUAUAACGGUCCUAAGGUAGCGAAAUUCCUUGUCGGGU